rnacentral:rRNA from 1 species
UACAGAGGGUGCGAGCGUUAAUCGGAAUUACUGGGCGUAAAGCGUGCGUAGACGGUUAUUUAAGUCGGGUGUGAAAUCCCCGGGCUCAACCCGGGAACUGCGUCCGAUACUGGAGGGCUCGAAUCCGGGAGAGGGAUGUGGAAUUCCAGGUGUAGCGGUGAAAUGCGUAGAUAUCUGGAGGAACACCGGUGGCGAAGGCGGCAUCCUGGACCGGUAUUGACGCUGAGGCGCGAAAGCUAGGGGAGCAAACGGG